CAAGGCCAAUAAAUAGUGACAGCCUAUAGCAAGUUGCAGCAGCCCCUCUGGCAUUUGCCAGAACCCACAGAUUGCCAGUCCAGGCUUGCAGAGAAGUCAGGAGAUGCUUGGAGAAAGAGAGAGAGGGCAUUGCCACCCUCCACUGGAAGGGCACUCCAUCACAAGCCAGGGAGAAGCCAUGCAGUAAAUCUGGCCCUUGACUAUUGCUUUCAGAACUUGUAGUGAAUCAUGUGAGGAGGGGAAGAUUAAUAAAUUGCUUUGUCAGGGUGACUGCAGGAUUCCAUGUCACUGCUCUCAAAGAUUACAAGACUGGAGGGAGGUGCAUGCUCGGCAGCACCACAGCAAAAAAGGGGACAGACUGCCUGCUCACCUUAGCACAGAUUCUAGCCCAGAAUCUAGGCAGCAACAAGGAACAGAGAAGGUUACAUCACAGAUUGGAACUGCGGCCAGCUCAUUUUUCUCAUAAAAGGCUGCGUGAUAUAUACUGCAGAGCCUACACUGCAUUGAGGCAGAGGUUCUGGACUCUUGAUACAAAAACAUUAAUAGGCACCUACCCCAGCAGAGAAAUGACAACUGUCAGAAACACUUCCCCACUGAGACAAUGAAACAGCAACAACAGGAGGUACAUAAUUUGAUGGUCAACCUAUCCCCUAAUGUUUUAAUGAAUGAUGAACUAUCUGUUUUAAAGGACCAGUAAUAUCAAAAAAUGAAAUUGUUUUAAAGUAGUAAUAAAAAUAUAAUGCAGUGUU